AUUCGUAUGUAUUCUAAUCCUAUUACAUAAUAUCACAUGGAGACUAAAUGGAUAAUAAUUUUAGUUGUAAAAUUAAAAUAUGUGAAACUCCGCGACGAUUGCCUGACUGAAUAAUAGCGAGGAAUAUAUUGAUUGUAUACUAAUAAGACGCGUUUUGCAUUUGUUGUGCCUAUAAACCAGAAACCUGAAAAAUUGCUCUGAUUUUCUAGUGUUCCGUUCUUUUCUGAAAUUCAAUUAUC